UGCGUAGGCGGCAUAGCAAGUUGGUUGUGAAAUCCUGCGGCUCAACCGUAGAACUGCCAUUGAUACUGCUAAUCUUGAGUAUAGUUGAGGUGGGCGGAAUGUGUAAUGUAGCGGUGAAAUGCAUAGAUAUUACACAGAACACCGAUUGCGAAGGCAGCUCACUAAGCUAUUACUGACGCUAAGGCACGAAAGCGUGGGGAGCGAACAGGAUUAGAUACCCUGGUAGUCC
rnacentral:rRNA from 1 species